GCUUACCAAGACAAUGCAAUGAGGUGACAUGGUGUUGUUCAUACGGUUCAACUAAAGUCCGUUCUAUACCCGCAAGGGCAAGGUGCGCUCAACAGCUCGCGGAAUCUGUAUAAUUGGACAAGGAGGUACCUACUUGUACAUAUUAAAGAGCUUUAGCUCUCAUGAAAAAGGCUUCAUAAUGUGGAUUAUAGAUAAAAUGCUUAUAUCAGACUAUGGUUCGGUGCCUUCCAUUUGAUCUUUCUACUGAGGUUUUCCAA
rnacentral:misc_RNA from 1 species